UGGGGAAUCUUGCGCAAUGCGCGAAAGCGUGACGCAGCAACGCCGCGUGGGGGAAGAAGGCCUUCGGGUUGUAAACCCCUUUCAGUUGGGACGAAGCUUCGCGGGUUAAUAGCCUGCUGGAGUGACGGUACCUUCACAAGAAGCCCCGGCUAACUACGUGCCAGCAGCCGCGGUAAUACGUAGGGGGCUAGCGUUGUCCGGAAUCAUUGGGCGUAAAGCGCGUGUAGGCGGUCCGGUAAGUCCGCUGUGAAAGUCGGGGGCUCAACCCUCGGAUGCCGGUGGAUACUGUCGGGCUUGAGUACGGAAGAGGCGAGUGGAAUUCCUGGUGUAGCGGUGAAAUGCGCAGAUAUCAGGAGGAACACCAAUUGCGAAGGCAGCUCGCUGGGACGUUACUGACGCUGAGACGCGAAAGCGUGGGGAGCAAACAGG
rnacentral:rRNA from 1 species